AUUAAUAGUUUUCUUGAAUAAUAAAUAUUAUUACUACUAAUGAAAUUGUUCUAUUAAAUAAAAGAUUAAAAGUUAUAUUAAUUAAAAUUGAAUAAUAAUGAGUUAUGAAAGUUUAAUGUACAAAAAUGGAUUUAUUAAAAAUAGAAAAAAUGUAAAAUAAAAAUUUGUACCUUUUGUAUCAGGGUUUUAUGAAAAAAAAUUAAAUAAAGCAUUCUCGAAAAAUUAAGAUUUAAUUUUUUAUAUUUUUUAAUGUUGAAAAAUUAUAUAUAAUAAAAAAUUAGAAAUGAAAAGUUAAUCGUUUAAUUAGGAUUCUAGUUUUUAAAUAAAUUAAUUUAAUUAAUGAUUUAUCAGUUAUUUAAGUAUAUUUGUUAAUAUCAAUAUGGUAAAAUAAAAAUUGUAAAAAGUUUAGUUUUUACAAUAUUAAUAUUUAUUUAUUAAAAACCUUUUUUAGAUUUAUAAUUGUUUAUAAAAUAUAAUUUUUUACAAAAAUUGGUUUUUAUAUUUAUAUUUAUUAAAAAAAUUUAAUUUAUAUUUAAAAACUAAUUCUAACAAUUUAAAUUAGUCUAUAAUUUAAAAAUUAGUAAAUUUGUAAAAUAAAGUAUAGGAACUCGGCAAAUUUAAUUUUCGCCUGUUUAACAAAAACAUGUCUUUAAGAAAAUUUUUUUAAGUCCUGUCUGCUCACUGAAAUUUAAAGAGCCGCAGUAUUAUGACUGUGCAAAGGUAGCAUAAUCAAUAGUUUUUUAAUUGAAAACUGGAAUGAAAGAUAAGACGAAAAAUUAACUUUCUUUACUUUAACUAAUUGAAUUUAAAAUUUAAGUUAAAAUUCUUAAAUAAAAAUGAAAGACGAGAAGACCCUAUAGAUUUUUAUUUUUAGUUUAAUAAAAUAAAAAGGUUAUUAAAGAAAAAUUUAAUUGGGGCGAUUUUGUAAUCAAAAUAACUUAAUUUUAUAAAACCAUAAAUUAUUGAAUUUUUUGAUCUGAAAAUUUCAAAUAAAAGAUUAAAUUACCUUAGGGAUAACAGCGUAAUUUUAUUUAAGAGUUCAUAUCUAUAAUAAAGAUUGCGACCUCGAUGUUGAAUUAAGAAAUACAUUGGAGCAGAAAUUAGUGUUAAUAAGUCUGUUCGACUAUUAAAUUCUUACAUGAUUUGAGUUCAGACCGGCGUGAGCCAGGUCAGUUUCUAUCUUCAAUUUAAUUUUACUAAUAAGUACGAAAGGACCAUUAAUUAAUAAUAAUUAUUUAUUUUUU
rnacentral:rRNA from 1 species